GGGGGUGCAAACAGCAACAAACAAGAGAAGAAUUGUGAGGCCUGCUUACCUUAGUGACUUCGUUUGAGCAGGAUCGUGCAGGAGCGUUGUGUGCAGGAUGGAAGAUUCGAUGCUGGCCUUUAGGGGACAAGAAUAACCAAAUUGCUGAAUUCUAAACAUUUUAGAAAUCACAAAAUGCCAAAAUUAGAAUUCAGUAUAUAUAUGACUAUGUAAUAACA
rnacentral:lncRNA from 1 species